CCGAUGUGUCAUCGCGUUUGGCAGCGAGUUGCAGGAGAAAAACGCGAACGGCAGCAUGGACCAGCUGUAAGUGCGACCAGUACACUGAAAUUGUCCUUAAUAUCGGCUGCUUUGAAAUCUGUGAAACGUUGGCUUUUGCUACUUUUGAACGAAGCUCGACCAAUUUUGCUUGCAGGAGCAUCAGUGCGUGCUUGCCGCACAGGAAUGCGUCCUCCAUUGUUACGCUUGGCUUCUAAACAUCGACAUUGAACUGCGGUUUCGUUUCUGUCUUGCGCGAAAGUGGACUGUGUUCUGACCUUGACCUGUGCAACUGUUAACCGUAAGAGAGAGUCCGUAACGUCUUGGUGCGCUACAUGGAAACGCUUGCGUAACACUUCACUAUUUUGAUGUUCACCUUUGAAGGGCAUUUCGCAGCGCCGCUUUUUGCUUGACACCUCUCAGGUAAGCUUUCGGUUCAUUGAAGAUUUUACCGAACCCUCAAAACAAGCAGUUUUGCACGGGCAAAGUAAAUACGCCCUCAGUCCGGCCCAGCCGAGUUUCAUCUAUGCUCUUUCACAUGGACCUACCUUGACCGAAGCCCUGAAGAAGAUUAUCACGUGCCUGGCCCGGACAGCGUCAUUGUGACCUGUAGAAGGUAUUGGGGGGAUUCUCGGCACCGCACAACAAACAAAUUCAAAAGUGAGAUGGGAAGGGAAAAAGGGAAUUCGCGAAAUUGUCGCGCUCCAGACAAUUGCCCACCUACGAUUCAAGGCGGAACUGGAUAAUCGAAAUCCCAUGUUUCGCCAUGUCUCUACUGCUCAUAUAAGCUCGAUGGCAUGCUCAGUGAACAUUCUGUUCUACUACGCUAGCAGCCCUGGACGCUGUGUCCACGGCCGCAGUAGCUGCAUGCAAUCGGCCAUCUUGACCGGGGCCAUUCUGCCGUACGUAUGCUGUCGCGACUGGUAGCAUCGACAAAUCAUGUGCGUACGGCAGACUACCCCAGAGGUGAAAGACGACCAGCGGAGGUGAAGACGCCGCCAUCGCUGGUACCGCUUCGCCACCGCUGACGUCAGUGAAUGCCGGUGUGGAUAACUGAUCGCCAGGGGCGUCGGGGCCUGGGUCAGCGUAGGUAGCCGGGUAGCAUGGAAUGGCUGUGGAGGAGAUGAGGCUGCCAUUGCUUCUAUUCGGGGUUGGCAAUUGAUGCUGUGUUACUGCUGCUACCGCCGGUGUUGGAGGCGGCACCAGCACUGGAAGCCGGCAUGAAAGUGAGGAAGGCG
rnacentral:lncRNA from 1 species